GUUGCAUUCUAGUAUGGAAAGGGGAAGAAGAAAAGAAAAAUAAGGUUUAGAACAUUUAUUUGGUGGUCAGGGCAAUUUGGGUAAGUAGGAAUUAAAUAUCUUUUUAUUUUUAUUUUAUGAACGAGUCACAAAUUCAAUUAUGUGUCUAAACGCCUGUAUUUGGUAACGAGUGUGUCUUGGCUCUUAAUGCAUUUGACCCUCUUGAUUAUGAUAGGUAACGGAAUGCUAUUAAUUGCUACCCCUUCUGAUUGGUGUUAAAUAUGGGACAAGCACAGUAUAAUUUCCCCUACAAUAUUUUUUGUUAAAUACAGUGAAAAAGUUUGCUAUCAAACUGGGCCCAUGUUGAGUACUGUGAAGAUGUGAUGCAAAAGUAGGAAAUGAAAUGUUCAGGACGAAGAUAGCAUAUUCGACUACUAUGCUUGGGUUGUGCAAGAUCACCAGGUCUUUAUUUUGGAGCAUUUUGUGACCUAACUUUGGAUUGAAGGCAAUCAUACCGACACUACGGAUGCGCACAAACUAGUCAUCGACAUGAAGGUAAACUUCAAAUGAAAAAAAAAGAAGAAAAAAAACAUCUCAUGACAAAUUGAUCAACGAAUUUCAUCAAACAAUGUGCAGUAGACAAAAAAAAAAAAUUAGAAUAACUACUUCUGAAGUAGUUUCAUGUAAUUAUAUACUCACUUCUUACU